rnacentral:rRNA from 1 species
CCUACGGGAGGCAGCAGUGAGGAAUAUUGGUCAAUGGCCGGAAGGCUGAACCAGCCAUGCCGCGUGAAUGUCAGUGCCCUAUGGGCGUUAAACUUCUUUUGUGCGGGAGCAAUAAUGGUCACGUGUGACCAGACGAGAGUACCGUACGAAUAAGCAUCGGCUAACUCCGUGCGAGCAGCCGCGGUAAUACGGGGGAUGCAAGCGUUAUCCGGAUUUAUUGGGGUUAAAGGGUGCGUAGGCUGUGAGGUAAGUCAGCGGUGAAAUGCCCCCGCUCAACGGGGUGAAGUGCCAUUGAUACUGCCUUGCGGGAAUGCGGAUGCGGUGGGAGGAAUGUGCGGUGUAGCGGUGAAAUGCAUAGAUAUCACACAGAACACCGAUUGCGAAGGCAUCUCACGAAUCCGCGAUUGACGCUGAUGCACGAAAGCGUGGGUAUCAAACAGGAUUAGAUACCCCAGUAGUC